rnacentral:misc_RNA from 1 species
GAUGAAGAACGCAUCGAAAUGCGAUAAGUAGUGUGAAUUGCAGAAUUCAGUGAAUCAUCGAAUCUUUGAACGCACAUUGCGCCCCUUGGUAUUCCAUGGGGCAUGCCUGUUCGAGCGUCAUUUGUACCCUCAAGCUUUGCUUGGUGAUGGGUGUUUGUUCCGCUGCAACGCGUGAACUCGCCUCAAAUCAAUUGGCAGCCGGCAGUCUGGUGUUUGAGCGCAGCACAUUUUGCGCUCUUCGCUGUGUAUUGCGGGCGUCCAUGAAGCCUAUAUUUUCGCGCUUGACCUCGGAUCAGGUAGGGAUACCCGCUGAACUUAAGCAUAUCAAUAAGCGGAGGA